AGAAUCCUUGUAGCUCCGAAAUGAAAAUGACCCGGGUUCUGUUGUGCCUAGUUCUUCUCUGGGGAGCAUCUCUCAGUGAAGGUUGCAAUCCUGAGCUCCAGGAGGACGUUUUAUCCAAAGCGCUUUACAAUUGAUGCCUCUCAUUCACCCAUUCACACACACACUCACACACCAACGGUGAAAGGGUGCUAUGCAAGGUACCAAUUAGCUCGUUGGGAGCAAUUAGGGGUUAGGUGUCUUGCUCAGGGACACUUUGACACACCCAGGGCGAAGGAUCGAACCAGCAACCCUCCGACUGCCAGACAAUCGCUCUUACCUCCUGAGCUAUGUGGGCCUAGCCACAUACACACACGUACAUACAAACACACACACAUCCACACACAUAUACACAGACACACUUGCUCUAUAUUCAUUGGAGUAUC